rnacentral:rRNA from 1 species
AUUGAACGCUGGCAGCAGGCCUAACACAUGCAAGUCGAGCGGUAGCACAGAGAGCUUGCUCUCGGGUGACGAGCGGCGGACGGGUGAGUAAUGUCUGGGAAACUGCCUGAUGGAGGGGGAUAACUACUGGAAACGGUAGCUAAUACCGCAUAACGUCGCAAGACCAAAGUGGGGGACCUUCGGGCCUCAUGCCAUCAGAUGUGCCCAGAUGGGAUUAGCUAGUAGGUGGGGUAACGGCUCACCUAGGCGACGAUCCCUAGCUGGUCUGAGAGGAUGACCAGCCACACUGGAACUGAGACACGGCCCAGACUCCUACGGGAGGCAGCAGUGGGGAAUAUUGCACAAUGGGCGCAAGCCUGAUGCAGCCAUGCCGCGUGUGUGAAGAUGGCCUUCGGGUUGUAAAGCACUUUCAGCGGGGAGGAAGGCGGUGAGGUUAAUAACCUCAUCGAUUGACGUUACCCGCAGAAGAAGCACCGGCUAACUCCGUGCCAGCCGCCGCCGUAA